rnacentral:rRNA from 1 species
GAUGAACGCUAGCGGCAGGCCUAAUACAUGCAAGUCGAACGGGAUCCAGAUCAAAGCUUGCUUUGGUCUGGUGAGAGUGGCGCACGGGUGCGUAACGCGUGAGCAACCUACCCUUGUCAGGGGGAUAGCCCGGCGAAAGUCGGAUUAAUACCGCAUGACAUCAUUGAGAGGCAUCUUUCGAUGAUCAAAGAUUUAUCGGACAAGGAUGGGCUCGCGUGACAUUAGCUAGUUGGUAAGGUAACGGCUUACCAAGGCUGCGAUGUCUAGGGGCUCUGAGAGGAGACUCCCCCACACUGGUACUGAGACACGGACCAGACUCCUACGGGAGGCAGCAGUAAGGAAUAUUGGUCAAUGGACGGAAGUCUGAACCAGCCAUGCCGCGUGCAGGAAGACGGCCCUAUGGGUUGUAAACUGCUUUUAUACGGGAACAAACGUCGGUACGUGUACCGGUCUGAGUGUACCGUAAGAAUAAGGAUCGGCUAACUCCGUG